ACUGCUCAGUAACACGUAGUCAACAUGCCCAGGGGACGUGGAUAACCUCGGGAAACUGAGGAUAAACCGCGAUAGGCCAAGAUUUCUGGAAUGAAUCAUGGUUUAAAUCUAUAUGGCCCCUGGAUUGGACUGCGGCCGAUCAGGCUGUUGGUGAGGUAAUGGCCCACCAAACCUGUAACCGGUACGGGCUCUGAGAGGAGGAGCCCGGAGAUGGGCACUUAGACAAGGGCCCAGGCCCUAUGGGGCGCAGCAGGCGCGAAACCUCUGCAAUAAGCGAAAGCUUGACAGGGUUACUCUGAGUGAUUUCCGCUAAGGAAGUCUUUUGGCACCUCUAAAAAUGGUGCAGAAUAAGGGGUGGGCAAGUCUGGUGUCAGCCGCCGCGGUAAUACCAGCACCCCGAGUGGUCGGGACGAUUAUUGGGCCUAAAGCAUCCGUAGCCGGUCCUGCAAGUCCUCCGUUAAAUCCACCCGCUCAACGGUUGGGCCGCGGGGGAUACUACAGGGCUAGGAGGCGGGAUAGGCAAGCGGUACUCGAUGGGUAGGGGUAAAAUCCACUGAUCCAUUGAAGACCACCAGUGGCGAAGGCGGCUUGCCAGAACGCGCUCGACGGUGAGGGAUGAAAGCUGGGGGAGCAAACCGGAUUAGAUACCCGGGUAGUCCCAGCUGUAAACGAUGCAGACUCGGUGAUGGGCUGGCUUCGUGCCAACCCGGUGCCGCAGGGAAGCCGUUAAGUCUGCCGCCUGGGGAGUACGGUCGCAAGACUGAAACUUAAAGGAAUUGGCGGGGGAGCA
rnacentral:rRNA from 1 species